AAAAACCCGAAUGAACUUUUGG
rnacentral:miRNA from 1 species